ensembl:snRNA U6 U6 spliceosomal RNA
GCGCUUGCUUCAGCAGCACAUAUACAAAAAUUAGAAUGAUACAGAGAAAAUUAGCAUGGCCUUUGCAUGAGGACGGCACACAAAUCUGUGAAAAAUAAAAAUAAAAA